AGAGUUUUUUCCUGGCUCAGGACGAACGCUGGCGGCGUGCCUAAUACAUGCAAGUCGAGCGAGCUUGCCUAGAUGAUUUUAGUGCUUGCACUAAAUGAAACUAGAUACAAGCGAGCGGCGGACGGGUGAGUAACACGUGGGUAACCUGCCCAAGAGACUGGGAUAACACCUGGAAACAGAUGCUAAUACCGGAUAACAACACUAGACGCAUGUCUAGAGUUUGAAAGAUGGUUCUGCUAUUACUCUUGGAUGGACCUGCGGUGCAUUAGCUAGUUGGUAAGGUAACGGCUUACCAAGGCAAUGAUGCGUAGCCGAGUUGAGAGACUGAUCGGCCACAUUGGGACUGAGACACGGCCCAAACUCCUACGGGAGGCAGCAGUAGGGAAUCUUCCACAAUGGACGAAAGUCUGAUGGAGCAACGCCGCGUGAGUGAAGAAGGGUUUCGGCUCGUAAAGCUCUGUUGGUAGUGAAGAAAGAUAGAGGUAGUAACUGGCCUUUAUUUGACGGUAAUUACUUAGAAAGUCACGGCUAACUACGUGCCAGCAGCCGCGGUAAUACGUAGGUGGCAAGCGUUGUCCGGAUUUAUUGGGCGUAAAGCGAGUGCAGGCGGUUCAAUAAGUCUGAUGUGAAAGCCUUCGGCUCAACCGGAGAAUUGCAUCAGAAACUGUUGAACUUGAGUGCAGAAGAGGAGAGUGGAACUCCAUGUGUAGCGGUGGAAUGCGUAGAUAUAUGGAAGAACACCAGUGGCGAAGGCGGCUCUCUGGUCUGCAACUGACGCUGAGGCUCGAAAGCAUGGGUAGCGAACAGGAUUAGAUACCCUGGUAGUCCAUGCCGUAAACGAUGA
rnacentral:rRNA from 1 species